CCGCACUCAAUGCACUUGAUAGAGAUUUUACAUUCCUUGGCAAAGUGAUCGGUGGAAGCACAGCAUCUAUAAUAUACCCCAAAGGUCUUUAGGAGUUCCUUCCGUUCUUGUAGGGGCUUCUUCCUAAAGCCGAUACAUUUUUUGAGGGGAUGUGGCUUCUUGUGGAUAGGACAUAAUUGGUUUGGGUUUUCGAUCUUGUUUGAGGCGGGAGCUGAGGAAGGAGCGGGAAUAAUGUCUGUCUUCUUAACAGACACGGGACCUCUACGGUUCCUGCAGCUGAUAUGUAGGUUG